GCGUUCCUCCUUCCAUGCUGUGUCUGCUCUGAUCUCACAUGACCCCUGCCAAGCAAAUGAGACCCAGACCCUUGACCUGACUCACUCGAUAUCUGUGGCUCCCAUCACAGCCCGGCUCCUCCCAUAUUGACAUACAGCUGAGUCUGUUCACUCAGAUGCUGACUGUAGAGGGUGCUGAAAUAUCACAA